rnacentral:tRNA from 1 species
GCCUGGGUGGCUUAGUCGGUUAAGCGUCUGACUUCGGCUCAGGCCAUGAUCUCACCUUUCGUGGGUUCCAGCCCUGCGUCGGGCU